AUUGAACGCUGGCGGCAUGCCUUACACAUGCAAGUCGAACGGCAGCACGGACUUCGGUCUGGUGGCGAGUGGCGAACGGGUGAGUAAUAUAUCGGAACAUACCUUGUAGUGGGGGAUAACUAUCCGACAGGAUAGCUAAUACCGCAUACGCUCUAAGGAGGAAAGCGGUGGAUCGUAAGACCUCGUGCUAUAAGAGUGGCCGGUAUCUGAUUGGCUAGUUGGUGAGGUAAGGGCUCACCAAGGCGACGAUCAGUAGCUGGUCUGAGAGGACGACCAGCCACACUGGAACUGAGACACGGUCCAGACUCCUACGGGAGGCAGGAGUGGGGAAUUUUGGACAAUGGGGGCAACCCUGAUCCAGCAAUGCCGCGUGAGUGAAGAAGGCCUUCGGGUUGUAAAGCUCUUUUGUCAGGGAAGAGACGGUUGUGGCUAAUAUCCAUGGCUAAUGACGGUACCUGAAGAAUAAGCACCGGCUAACUACGUGCCAGCCGCCGCCGUAAUAC
rnacentral:rRNA from 1 species